GACGAACGCUGGCGGCGUGCUUAACACAUGCAAGUCGAGCGGUAAGGCCCCUUCGGGGGUACACGAGCGGCGAACGGGUGAGUAACACGUGAGCAAUCUGCCCUUCACUUGGGGAUAACCACCGGAAACGGUGGCUAAUACCGAAUACGACCAUCCCGGGCAUCCGGUGGUGGUGGAAAGUUCUGGCGGUGGAGGAUGAGCUCGCGGCCUAUCAGCUUGUUGGUGGGGUAAUGGCCUACCAAGGCGACGACGGGUAGCCGGCCUGAGAGGGUGACCGGCCACACUGGGACUGAGACACGGCCCAGACUCCUACGGGAGGCAGCAGUGGGGAAUAUUGGACAAUGGGCGAAAGCCUGAUCCAGCAACGCCGCGUGAGGGAUGACGGCCUUCGGGUUGUAAACCUCUUUCAGUAGGGACGAAGCUAACGUGACGGUACCUACAGAAGAAGCACCGGCCAACUACGUGCCAGCAGCCGCGGUAAUACGUAGGGUGCGAGCGUUGUCCGGAAUUAUUGGGCGUAAAGGGCUCGUAGGCGGUUUGUCGCGUCAGGAGUGAAAACUCGGGGCUUAACUCCGAGCCUGCUUCUGAUACGGGCAGACUAGAGGUAUGCAGGGGAGAACGGAAUUCCUGUGUAGCGGUGAAAUGCGCAGAUAUCAGGAGGACACCGGUGGCGAAGCGGUUCU
rnacentral:rRNA from 1 species